GUUCCUUUGUGAUCAUCAUCACUGUGUGUGUCUGUGUGGCUCUGCUGCUGAUUGGAGGAUCAACUCUGAUCUACUACAAACUGAGACACUCUGCCCUUAGCUGCAGAAGAUCAGGAACAAAAAACGCAGAUGAUGUCGAUUAUGAAAAUUAUCCACAUGGAAAUCAGAAGAAGAUCAGUAUGGAUCCAAUCUACGAGAACAUAGACUUUAAAAACAGCGAGUUAGAUUUACUUUACGCAAGUAUAAACCCCAUACCAAGCAAAGAGAUUUAGACUACCAGCGUCUAAACCCCAACACAACAUUCAGCCUAUCAGAAUCUAAACCCCAAAACCAACCAAUCAAAUUCAGUCUAAAUGAGUCUAAAACUCAACACCAACCAAACAGAUUCAGUCUACCAGCAUCUAAACCCCAACACCAAACAAUCAGAUUCAGUCUAUCAGCAUCUAAACCCCAACACCAACCAAACAGAUUCAGUCUAAAUGAGUCUAAACCUCAACACCAACCAAACAGAUUCAGUCUACCAGCAUCUAAACCCCAACACCAACCAAUCAGAUUCAGUCUACCAGGCAUCUAAACCCCAACACCAACCAAUCAGAUUCAGUCUACUGGAGUCUAAACCCCAACUCCAACUAAUCUGAUUGGUUCUACUAAAGACAAAUUAUUUAGAGCCAAUCUAGUAAAAACUAAACCUGAAACACAAUCAGCCACAUUCAGUCUACGACUUUAGUUCCAAAUAAUCAGAUUCAUUUGAUCAAAUCUUUCAUUUCUCUCAGGGUGUACUGGACAUGUUUUAUACCAUUCUGUUGGUUUAUGUGGUAUUGUAAUUGUAGCUAAUAUAUAUUUAUAUCCAGAAUUAUGGAGAAUAAUUUCAUAACUGUACUAAUGCUUUACUCUUUUUUGUACUGACACCAAAUAAAAACCGGAAGAACUACUUACGAGUUAAUGUAUGUUUGCAAAAAUAACC